UAAACUCACAGGGGAGGAGACAAGCUCCUGGUACCUACGGUAAGAUCAGACUCUGAACAAAUAAUUCUGCUCUUCCCUGUUUUCAGCGUUUCUGUUCCCUCCCUCAUUCUACUCCUGAGAGCACCAGGGACAGGGAAGAAGGAAAUCCUGCAGCCAGGCUGGUUUCGUUGUUUUAAGCAACAGUGAUGUUUUUUCUGCUUUUCUGAAGUGUGUUUGUCCUGCCUCUAGCCGUUCAAAGUCCUGAUAUUGUUAUUGCUAUGAAAGGUAAGAGAAAAAGGCUGUGCACUGGCUGUUGGAUCAAUCAAGUAAUGGGAAGAAAAGCAGAGCUUUGCCUUAGCAGCCCCCACCUUGUGUGUGGUACAAAGUGAUACAGAAGCCAAAACUCAGGUGAGAGAAGCACCUGUGAUAUGAUGGAGGUCAGGAACAGAAGAAUGGGAAUGUUUGGGUCCCAUAACUAUUUCUAAGCAUGUCCCUCGGGGUGCUGGUUGUAGAGGGGGGACAGGAGGGCAAUGAUUUGCUGGGUGGAGCAUGGGAGAACAGUUCCAAGGGCCUCAGCCUGCUGCUGACAUGCUGCUGUCAUCCCUACUGCCCUUCCUUUGCCCGCGUUCCUUGCGUGACUCAGAGGGCACCGCACAGCAGCCCUGAGCAUGAGGUGGCACCUAUAGAAAGUCCUGACACAGCCAAAAGGCACGAAGGGAGGGAGUGCUGGCACAGGAGGGGACAGCAGGCAGAGGUGAAGGGUUCAAUGGCACCUCCUCCUCAUUCCCAUCCCUGCCUGGAGGGACUUUGUGUCCUCCUGCCCUCGGGAAGUUUCUCUCUGCUUCUGCCCCUGAUCCUGUUUCAGGACUGCCAAAGCUCUGGCUCACAGGUUGUUGGCAGCUUGAGGUGCCAGGCAUGAGCAGUUUUACCUUCCCCUUCUGACACAGAGAUGCCUUUUGGGGAGGGUUUUGACAUGAUCAAACACUCGCCUUUCCUGAAAGUGCUCUUAGCUGUGUGCUGCUGUGAUGAUCUCCAGUUCUCUCUGUAGGCAUUUGACACAGCUCCAGAGCACUCAAAAUCAACACCUCCAUGGCCCUUUGGGCAAGUGGUUUGAAUGAGUUAUAUCACAGGACCAUUGGCUCUGGAAGAGAAGACACUGCCAGCUAUGAGCACAGUAAUGAGGUAAUCUUCUAAUGCUAAACCAAAGGGUAGAAAUAAAAUCAGCUUUCAAAAUCUCAGCAUUUACAAGUUAUGAUGCAUGUGACCUAUUUAGAUGUCUAUUUUAGAAUGAAAAAACAUGCCCUAGAAGUGUCUAAUUUUUUCCACUGAGUCUAGGGUAAUGAGAUAAACAUGUAAUGGUCAGUCAAAUCCUGCAGUAAUUUUUAAGUAGAGGAAAUUUAUGGCUUUAGAGCCUGAUUCCUGUGCCUGUGCCAUCCCUCACUCCAGAAGUUGUGCAUGCCUUGCGCUUCUGAAAGUCAAACUCUAGAUGAAGCAAUUUCAGUAGAGCCUCAACGUGCUAACAUCUAAAUCCUUCCCUCCCAAUUACUGCCUGGGUUUAGUGGUGUGUUCUAAUUAGUUUGCAGAUGAAGAUUAUUGUGCUGAGGCUCAGCAAAGCAGAAGGGAGCAAUACAAAGGGAGCAAAGGUGCCCUGCAGCCAUUUCCAUUGUAACCCAGAUACAAACAGCUGCAGGGAUGGGCCAGAUCCCACCUGGCUCAGGGUGUUCUGGGCAGUGCUGCCACUGGAAGGUGCCUUCACCAUUUGCUUCCACCUCACCUCCUGACCCAGGACCUGAUAUGGGGUGCUCAGAGGCUACAGAAGUUGAGAAGUAAAUACCACAAAUCUGGUGUUCCAGCCGUGCUUUUAGGUAUCCAUGGAAAGAAUAAGCCAGCCCACC